AUUGAACGCUGGCGGCAGGCCUAACACAUGCAAGUCGAACGAGUGGCGGACGGGUGAGUAAUGUCUGGGAACCUGCCUGAUGGAGGGGGCUAACUACUGGAACCGGUAGCUAAUACCGCAUACCAUCGGAUGUGCCCAGAUGGGAUUAGCUAGUAGGGGGGGUAAAGGCUCACCUGGGCGACGAUCCCUAGCUGGUCGGAGAGGAUGAGCAGACACACUGGAACUGAUAAACGGUCCAGACUCCUACGGGAGGCAGCAGUGGGGAAGAUUGGACAAUGGGCGCAAGCCGUAUGCAGCCAUGCAGCGUGUAUGAAGAAGGCCUUCGGGUUGUAAAGUACUUUCAGAGGGGAGGCGAUACCCGCAGAAGAAGCACCGGCUAACUCCGUGCCAGCAGCCGCGGUAAUAC
rnacentral:rRNA from 1 species